CCUAGGUAUUCGUUAGAUCCUCCAGCUUUUAACAGCAUGGCUGGUCCUACCUACAGUUGCCCACACUCUGGCAGCUGGAAGGAGUCCUAUCAGGAAAGGCGUGCUAGCCAGGUUCAAGGUGUGCAAGGCACCAGGCUGUGGACCAGAAAUACAGUGGGAAGCUCAGAGACAGAGGAAUUAAAAUUAAGUGGAAGACUAUAGCAGCCAAGUCCCCCAGACCUCACUCCACUCCCUAACCACACAGCCACCUUCAAGGAAUAUAAACGGGAGGAGCCACGGAAAAGAUCACACACCAACAUAUACAUCCUUACAUCCUUCAUCCUUGAAGAUCACAAGAUAGAGUAGACCCCAAAAUGAAAGGAAAAGUCUUAUUCAGUUAAAUAAUCAGCUCCUUGGCUUUUGAAUUUCAUCAUUCAUGGAGGGGUAAGGACAUCUUUGAUAUCUUGGAAGCAGAUUGGAUUUCUUGAGUAGAUGAUAGAGACAAUUUUGCUGAGUUUUGAUCAUUUGUAUAUUCCCAAGUUCCCCCACCCAAGCAGACUGUGAAGGAAAACAGCUCUAACGACACUUAAGCACUCUGGUUAAUUGUGUAUGCAGUAAAUACAAUUUAGUCCUGAAGAAACCGUUUGCUGUUUAUUCACUGGGGGAGGAAAAACCAGCUUGAUGAUGCUGACGGAGCAGGACCAUUGCGGGGUAGGUUGAAGGAACAUGUUAUUUAAAAUGCUUUUGAGGGGAUCCUUGAGUGUGGCUCAGCAGUUUAGCACCUGCCUUCAGCCCAGGGCCUGAUCCUGAAGACCCAGGAUCAAGUCCCACAUCUGGCUCCCUGCAUGGAGCCUGCUUCUCCCUCUGCCUGUGUCUCUGCCUCUCUCUCGCUCUGUGUGUCUCUCAUGAAUAAGUAAAUAAAAAUUAAAACAAAAUAAAACA
rnacentral:lncRNA from 12 species